rnacentral:rRNA from 1 species
AGAGUUUGAUCCUGGCUCAGAUUGAACGCUGGCGGCAUGCCUUACACAUGCAAGUCGAACGGCAGCACGGGUGCUUGCACCUGGUGGCGAGUGGCGAACGGGUGAGUAAUACAUCGGAACGUACCUUAUCGUGGGGGAUAACGCAGCGAAAGCUGUGCUAAUACCGCAUACGCCCUGAGGGGGAAAGCGGGGGAUCGAAAGACCUCGCGCGAUUAGAGCGGCCGAUGCCUGAUUAGCUUGUUGGUGGGGUAAAAGCCCACCAAGGCGACGAUCAGUAGCUGGUCUGAGAGGACGAUCAGCCACACUGGGACUGAGACACGGCCCAGACUCCUACGGGAGGCAGCAGUGGGGAAUUUUGGACAAUGGGGGAAACCCUGAUCCAGCAAUGCCGCGUGAGUGAAGAAGGCCUUCGGGUUGUAAAGCUCUUUUGUCAGGGAAGAAACACCGGCUCUAACACAGUCCGGGAAUGACGGUACCUGAAGAAUAAGCACCGGCUAACUACGUGCCAGCAGCCGCGGUAAUACGUAGGGUGCGAGCGUUAAUCGGAAUUACUGGGCGUAAAGCGUGCGCAGGCGGUUAUACAAGACAGGCGUGAAAUCCCCGGGCUUAACCUGGGAAUGGCGCCUGUGACUGUAUAGCUAGAGUGUGUCAGAGGGGGGUAGAAUUCCACGUGUAGCAGUGAAAUGCGUAGAUAUGUGGAGGAAUACCAAUGGCGAAGGCAGCCCCCUGGGAUAACACUGACGCUCAUGCACGAAAGCGUGGGGGAGCAAACAGGAUUAGAUACCCUGGUAGUCCACGCCCUAAACGAUGCUGACUAGUUGUUCGGGAUUUACAUCCUGAGUAACGUAGCUAACGCGUGAAGUCAGCCGCCUGGGGAGUACGGUCGCAGAUUAAAACUCAAAGGAAUUGACGGGGACCC